GUGGGGAAUUUUGGACAAUGGGGGCAACCCUGAUCCAGCCAUGCCGCGUGCGGGAAGAAGGCCUUCGGGUUGUAAACCGCUUUUGUCAGGGAAGAAAUCCUUUGGGUUAAUACCUCGGAGGGAUGACGGUACCUGAAGAAUAAGCACCGGCUAACUACGUGCCAGCAGCCGCGGUAAUACGUAGGGUGCGAGCGUUAAUCGGAAUUACUGGGCGUAAAGCGUGCGCAGGCGGUUAUAUAAGACAGAUGUGAAAUCCCCGGGCUCAACCUGGGAACUGCAUUUGUGACUGUAUAGCUAGAGUACGACAGAGGGGGAUGGAAUUCCGCGUGUAGCAGUGAAAUGCGUAGAUAUGCGGAGGAACACCGAUGGCGAAGGCAAUCCCCUGGGCCUGUACUGAAGCUCAUGCACGAAAGCGUGGGGAGCAAACAGGAUUAGAAACCCGUGUAGUCC
rnacentral:rRNA from 1 species